rnacentral:lncRNA from 1 species
GGCGGACUUCUUCUUCAAGGGGCUGGCCACGCCGGGCGCCACCAACAACACCAUGGGCUCCCUCGUGACCGGCGCCAACGUCGAGAAGAUACCCGGGCUGAACACCCUGGGCGUGUCCAUGUCCCGCAUCGACUACGCCCCCGGCGGGCUGAACCCGCCCCACACCCACCCGCGCGCCACCGAGAUCGUCUUCGUCCUCGACGGCACCCUCGACGUGGGCUUCAUCACCACCGCCAACAAGCUGAUAGCCAAGACCAUCAC